rnacentral:rRNA from 1 species
GUGAGUAACCUGCCCUUAACUUCUGGGAUAAGCCUGGGAAACUGGGUCUAAUACCGGAUAUGACUCCUCAUCGCAUGGUGGGGGGUGGAAAGCUUUUUGUGGUUUUGGAUGGACUCGCGGCCUAUCAGCUUGUUGGUGAGGUAAUGGCUCACCAAGGCGACGACGGGUAGCCGGCCUGAGAGGGUGACCGGCCACACUGGGACUGAGACACGGCCCAGACUCCUACGGGAGGCAGCAGUGGGGAAUAUUGCACAAUGGGCGAAAGCCUGAUGCAGCGACGCCGCGUGAGGGAUGACGGCCUUCGGGUUGUAAACCUCUUUCAGUAGGGAAGAAGCGAAAGUGACGGUACCUGCAGAAGAAGCGCCGGCUAACUACGUGCCAGCAGCCGCGGUAAUACGUAGGGCGCAAGCGUUAUCCGGAAUUAUUGGGCGUAAAGAGCUCGUAGGCGGUUUGUCGCGUCUGCCGUGAAAGUCCGGGGCUCAACUCCGGAUCUGCGGUGGGUACGGGCAGACUAGAGUGAUGUAGGGGAGACUGGAAUUCCUGGUGUAGCGGUGAAAUGCGCAGAUAUCAGGAGGAACACCGAUGGCGAAGGCAGGUCUCUGGGCAUUAACUGACGCUGAGGAGCGAAAGCAUGGGGAGCGAACAGGAUUAGAUACCCUGGUAGUCCAUGCCGUAAACGUUGGGCACUAGGUGUGGGGGACAUUCCACGUUUUCCGCGCCGUA